GUUUUCUUCCUUUUUUUUUUUAUCUGUUUAUUUUGCACAGGUUGCUCUUAAUAGUUUCCUAGUUUGUCUCUUCACUUUCUUAUCACUUUGAUUAUUGCUUUGAUUCUAAUUUUCCAUUGUACCCUUUUGUAUCUGGAUGAUGACUUCUGUUGAAUUUUCUAAUUUAAUCAACUUGUAGACUUGUUUCUUCCGGCAAUUUGG
rnacentral:misc_RNA from 1 species